rnacentral:lncRNA from 1 species
CCCAGUCCCAGCAGCCCUCUGGUUCCAGAUCUCAAAACAGAAGCCCAUGUGCUGUGGAUGGGAUGGUGCCAAUGACACCCGCCCCAGAUGGCACCACCCCUCGCCAAGCUCAGUCAAGAGUUGUAACCCCUUGACCCUCUGCCCCUCCUCCACACAGGCCACUGGCGAGUGAUACAGUAGGAUCCCAGAAUGACAGCAGCGGGCUCCAGAGCCAGGAGAAGUCCCCAGCUGCAUGGCUGGGCUGACCUGUCUGUAUCGACCUUAUGGUACAGGCAUCCCAGCACACAGCCACAUCCACCACGAGACGCAGCUGGACACCCGUCUGACCAGCUGCUUCCACACCUCACGGGAGCUGAGGCAUCUUCCUGUCCCAGGAUGUCACCUUGCAGAAGCCACAAGCGUGCCCCUCACUGUAGGCAACACCUGCCACUCAAAUCCUCACUCUCUGCCCAAGGUUCACUUCUUCUGAGGAUGACUGGCUGGGCUAACACUGGUGGGCAUCUGAGAACCGUUCCCACUCACGGUCGGGUGGCUCUCCUCUACGGCUCCUAUAAGAGUUCCACAUUUGAGCAUCUCCCAGGUCUGGGUGAUUAAUUUGUCCUCUUUUUCUAUGUCUUCAUUCUCUUUGCAUUGAUUAAAG